CCUUGGGCAGUGACUCCAGGACUGUCCAACCUGAGAAUGGUGAGUCUCCAGGGUCGUUCUCAGGUUCGUCAGCCCAUGAGAUGCUGCCCCUUC
rfam:Equus caballus chromosome 22, whole genome shotgun sequence.